ensembl:lncRNA
GUCUGCUGCAAUUAUGUCCCACCAGGUUUGCAUUAGCAAAUCUUGCUUUGGAUUAGCAAACACGUUUAAAAAAAUAUGAGCUGGGGAAGUGCUUUUAAAGCUGGGUGGUUAGAGCAGGUUGAACGAUUUGAUCUGAAGAAAAUGAAAACUUAGAGCAAUGCUCAUUUUAAAUCACAGGAAAAGACAGUGGCUUAGUAACCUAAACUGCACAUCUUCAAACCCUGCAGAAAAGCACCAGAGAGUCACAGAGCUGCUGAGCUUCAGCAGGGCCAUUAAAUCUGCUCCCAGCCUACCUGAUGAAUCACCCGGACCUCCAGCGGGAGACUUCGGCGGCUCAGCGACCAGACCAGCCCCAGUAAGUGUGGGAACUUCUCUUUGAAACCUCCUCAUCCAGUGAAAAAUUAAAAAAAAAGGAAAAAUAGAGGGAAUGCAGGAGGUGACAAGCCCCAGUAAGUGUGGGAAUUUCUCUCUUUGAAACAUCCUCAUCCAAUGAAAAAUAAAAUAAAAAGGAAAAAUAGAGGGAAUGCAGGAGGUGACACUCAGAAAUCACAUGUUCUGCCAUGGUUUAAAAGGCAAAGCUUGCUGCUGAUAAAUGCAGAGCUCUCUACACUGGAGAAAGAAAGCAGUACAUGAAAAAAACAGAAUGGAGUAUAUAUAUAUAUGUAUGUUUUUAAAAGCCCCAACAAACUAUGAGAGAGAAUAUAAAAUAUUCCUUACUGUAUAAUGGGUCCAGAGACAAUAAUUAGCAAGCUCCAACCCAACGCAACACAGGGCAACAGAAAGCAGGAGUGGCCUGUGGUUGAAAUCCACUUUGGUCAUUAGUAGCUCUUUUGGACUCUCCUUAGCUGUUAUUUUUUUAUUGGAUGUGCAGAUUUAUGGAUUAUAAGUGUUUGUGGCUAAAUUUACAGCCCUAAUUGCAGCUUAAUGUUUUGGAAACUGCUUCUGAUUCAGAAGGAAGCAGGUGGGAGGGUUUGUUUUUCUUGCAAAAGGUGUUUCCCAGCCUCAGGAAAGCAGCAGCAGAAUUCCCAGUGCUUGUGAGUACCUGAGGCUGUGUGCUCUGUGUGUUUGUGUGUGUGUGACGUGCUGGGGCUGCCCAGGGACUGGCCCUGGAGGCUGUCUGCAAGUGAAAAACGCCACUGUUCUCAUCUAAAAUACUCCAAGGGAAGCUGAGGCAGCCCAGAUCUGGGCUUUUCCUUCUGGCAGCCCCUUUUGCUGGUGUAUGAGCCCCUCUGAUGAGCCUGUGCUGCUCCCUGGUUCCAACUCCUGCAGUGGGCUCCAUAUCGAGGUGCUUUGUACAUCCCAGACAUUAUUCCUCAUUAGCAGGUGCUUUGUUGCCUCUGAAAUCUUCCUUCAUGUUUCCUUCUCCGAUAUCUCAGAGUCUUAGAAUGGUUUUGGGUUGGAAGGGACCUUAAAGAUCAUCUAAUUCCAGUCUGGAUGGCCUCCCCUUGCCAUAGCUGCCUCAUUUUCUCUGCUGCCUGUCCCCUCCCAAACCUCCCAAGCCCCACUCACCUCCUCAGCACCCUGCUCUGACCACAGUUAUUUCAGGCUUUACCCUCUCCUGUCCCCUUGCUCUCUCUGUCACUCAUUUGCUCCCUCUGGGCUCGAUUUGCCGUUUCAAUCCAUCUUCUCAGCCCUCA